AACUAAAUUAAAGUCAAACCGCAAAAUGCUCAUUAAAUCAGUCACGGUUUACUAGAACUAAUAUAUCUUUUUUUUUGAUAGAUGGAUAACUGUGGUAAUUCUAGAGCUAAUACAUGCAAAAAAGUUUUAUACCAGUGAUGGAUAUAAAACGCUUUUAUUAGAUCAAAACCAAUCGAUCAACUUGUUUGUUUCGUUUGAAUUUUGGUGAUUCUGAAUAACACCGUAGAUCACACAGUCAUUGUACUGGUGACGUAUCUUUCAAAUGCCUGACUUAUCACACUUUCGAUGGUAGAUUCAAUGUCUACCAUGGUUGUAACGGGUGACGGGGAAUCAGGGUUCGAUUCCGGAGAGGGAGCCUGAGAAACAGCUACCACAUCCAAGGAAGGCAGCAGGCACGCAAAUUACCCACUUCCGGCACGGAGAGGUAGUGACAAAAAAUAACGAUACGGGACUCAUCCGAGGCCCCGUAAUCGGAAUGAGUACACUUUAAAUCCUUUAACAAGUACCAAUUGGAGGGCAAGUCUGGUGCCAGCAGCCGCGGUAAUUCCAGCUCCAAUAGCGUAUAUUAAAGUUGUUGCAGUUAAAAAGCUCGUAGUUGGUUCUGUGUACUUCACUGUUGGUUUACCGCCUGUCGGUGUAACUGACAUGUUGUGGGACGUCCUGCCGGUGGUGGUUGCAGACCUUACGGUAUUGUUAACUGCCUUUAAUCUCAUUGCGGUGCUCUUUAUUGAGUGUCGAAAUGGGCCGGCACUUUUACCUUGAACAAAUUAGAGUGCUCAAGGCAAGCUAAAUUCUGCUUGAAUAUUUGUGCAUGGAAUAAUGGAACAGGACCUUGGUUCUAUUUUGUUGGUUUUCUGAAUCCAAGGUAAUGAUCAAUAUGGACGGUCGGGGGCAUUCGUAUUGCGGCGUUAGAGGUGAAAUUCUUGGAUCGUCGCAGACGACGAACUAGAGCGAAAGCAUUUGCCAAGUACGUCUUAAUUGAUCAAGAACGAAAGUUAGAGGUUCGAAGGCGAUCAGAUACCGCCCUAGUUCUAACCAUAAACGAUGUCAGCCAGCGAUCCGUAGAGUUCUUUGAAUGACUCGACGGGCAGCUUCCGGGAAACCAAAGCUUUUGGGUUCCGGGGGAAGUAUGGUUGCAAAGCUGAAACUUAAAGGAAUUGACGGAAGGGCACCACCAGGAGUGGAGCCUGCGGCUUAAUUUGACUCAACACGGGAAACCUCACCAGGCCCAGACAUUAGAAGGAUUG
rnacentral:rRNA from 1 species